rnacentral:tRNA from 1 species
GCGAGGGUGGCGGAACUGGCAGACGCACUGGACUUAGAAUCCAGCGCCUUUGGCAUGGGGGUUCAACUCCCCCCCUUCGCACCA